ACAAUAAUAACAGGGAGCUCACAGUAGUGGGCUGAGAGUAAGCUGAUACUGCUUAGACCUUUAACCUGAUUUAGGUAAUGCUAACGUAGGGAGAUAGUUGAUGAUUUUGG
rnacentral:ncRNA from 1 species